CAGGAUUCCCCUAGUAACGGCGAGUGAAGAGGGAAAAGCUCAAAUUUGAAAUCUGGCGGUCUUAAGGCUGUCCGAGUUGUAAUCUAGAGAAGUGUUUUCCGUGCUGGACCGUGUACAAGUCCUUUGGAAUAAGGCGUCAUAGAGGGUGAGAAUCCCGUCUACGACACGGACUGCCAGUGCUCUGUGAUACACUCUCAACGAGUCGAGUUGUUUGGGAAUGCAGCUCAAAAUGGGUGGUAAAUUCCAUCUAAAGCUAAAUACAGGCGAAAGACCGAUAGCGAACAAGUACCGUGAGGGAAAGAUGAAAAGCACUUUGGAAAGAGAGUUAAACAGUACGUGAAAUUGUUGAAAGGGAAACGCUUGAAGUCAGUCGCGUCUUCAGAAAUUCAGCCUGGC
rnacentral:rRNA from 1 species